GCCCAAAUUCACUUGAAAGGACUAUAUAACCAAAGCCUCUCCACUCCUGGGGGAGAGAAGAGAAGAGGAGAAAUCAUUAUCAGAGGUAGCCAUCAAAGUUAGGGUUUAGACUUCUCUCCCACAGAGAAUUAGAAUUAGCUACUCCCUAAUCCUUCAAGUUUAGAGGAUUGAUUAGAUAGCAAUUAGAGAAGUAGAGCACUACGCUCUAGAUUCGGAUCUUCGGUAAUAAAGAUUGGUAUUAUUCAUAUCUUUCUCUAAUACUUUGUUCUAAUUGCAUUAUGUCUUUAUUUAUUAUGUUUUUAGUUUGCUCUAGUUCUAUAUUUGAUAUAGUUAUGAUUGAUAAUGAGUUUAUGUAUAAGUUUGCAAAGCGCUUUGCUCUUGACGCGUGGGAGUUAAGUGGUAGAUCACAUGUUGGCGUGGUGCUUAGAUGUUAUUUACCUGCAAAUGUAUCCUAUUGGCUGGGUUUUGUGGUAGUUCGUGAUAGUGACAGCUUCGUUGAUUCUUAUAUAGUCCACCCUCCGUUGAUAGGACAAGCAUAAUUUGUAUUGCGGAGUAAGUCUUACGAUGCUCUGAUUUACUUUAGCAAUGUUCCUUAUACAUGAAUGAAGAGUCUUUUGUACUAUACAUGAUCUUGUAGAUAACUAGAGUAUAUUCUGACUUAGUAGAUAGUAGAUAACUUAGAAUCCAUUCUCUAGCCAAUCCGACGUCACCUUACAUAUUUGAGGAGUAGUCUAUUUUCUAAUCGUUGUGUUAUUCACCCAUGAACUUAUACUUCAUUAUCAUUAUCUUUAUGGUUUACCCCCUGCCAAAGUAAGUGACUGUGUGACGAGUUUUUGAAUAGUAAUCGUGUUCUUGCAAGUUUAUCUCUAGUCUAUGCCUUGAUAGGUUUAUCCUUAUCUUCAUUUAACCUCUUGUUCUCCUAAGCAAAAUUAUAAAUAACGAUACCUGGAAUACUUACCUGGUGAAAUGCUACAAUGAGGUGUUUUAUCUGUGUGCUUGCGGAUAGAAUAGAUUAUUUUCUAGAGAGCCUCCAUAUUUAAAAAUACCUUUGUACACUCUGGUACCAUGCUGGGGACGACAACCUAGUAUUCAAGUGGUGUUAGCUAGUGUCAACAAUGGUAAUAACAAUGGUGAAAGUCAAAUUCUACUUUUGCUCUUUUUAGGGGAUCCAUACCUUGCUUGAACUUUGAAGCUUUUUGAGGACAAUGAGAUGCUCUAUAUUUUUUUUCUUUUCUCUCAGGUGGGUAUCUUGUACCCCUAAUUCUACUGUCGGACACUUGUCCAUUUUUACCUCUCUUCUCACUUUUCCUUUUCUUCGAGGUUUCGGGCACUUGCCCCUUUUUAUUUCCUCGUAUUUUUGCUUUUUAUUCUCUUUUUUUAGAGCACUCACCCUCCUGGAAUAAUGUAGCAAGUGGUAGUAACCAAAAUAUCUCGAGCAUUUAUUUCACAGGGAAAAACAGGAAUGGGAUAAUGUUUUUGGCUAUUCUCUCCCGGAUAGGAGUAGAAUAAUUUUAGGUGAAUCUGGAGAUGGAAUUGAGUGGAUGUGUGUGGAUGCGUACUUCUGGAGUAGAAGCAGCAUGUAUGAGUGAACGUGCAAGUGAAUGUGGAUUUUAACCGUAUGACAAGCUCCUAAGGGUCUACACAGCUUGACCACACUCAAUGCUCAUAAUUAGUAAAAAUAAGUAAAUGUAUGGUUCAUAGUCUACUAAGCAUUUAUAUAUGCCUAAUUUUCAAAUUUGAAGUUGUCUCUAGUUUAGACAUAACUGUUAUAAUUUAAAGCUUGCUCUAAACCUGAACUUGUGGGAAGAGAACUUGAUCUAAAUUCUAAGUUGUUAACGGAUAUGAUAUGGGAAGGUUGAGCUGCUGUUUAUCUGUUCCUAGAGAUGCUAGAAUUCUAGAGAAUUUUAUCUUUGAAAAUCUUUAAAAUAUCACAUGAUGAGUUCUUGUAUGAUGAGAGUUUAAAUUCCUACCACAGCCAUAUAUACAUGCUUGCUAGACUUUGAGCCACACAUUUACUUUUUACUACUUAUGAGCAUUGAGUGUUGUCAAGCUGUGUAGACCCUUAGGAGCUUGUCAUGUGGUUAAAUCAAGAUUCACUUGCACGUUCACUCACACAUGCUACUUCUACUCCGGAAGUACGCAUCCACAUAUAUCCACCCAUUUCCGUCUCCAGAACCACUCAAAAAUAUUCUACUCCUAAUCCAAGAGAGAAUAGCCAAAAACAUUCUCCUAUUUCUGUUUUUCCCUGUGAAAUAAAUGCUCGAGUUAUCUUGGUUACUACCACAUGCUAUAUUAUUUCAGGAAAUGAGUGCUCGAAAAAAAAGAGAGAAGAAAGGAUACGAGGAAAUAAAAAGGGGCAAGUUCCCAGAACCUCGAAAGAAAAGAAAAAGUAAGACGAGAGGUAAAAUGGACAAGUGUCCGACAGUAGAAUUAGGGGUACAAGAUACCCACCUGAGAGGAAAAAAAGAAAAUAUAGAGCAUCUCAUUCUCCUCAAAUAGUUUCAAAAGAGGAAGAAAGGUAUAUCUCCCCUCAAAAGAGCAACAAGUAGAAUUAGACUUUCGCCAUUGUUAUCACCAUCAUCACCAUACACCAUUCAUUCGCCACACAUGCACAUCUUGAUUUGACUUAUUGACUUGUUUCUCUGGAUCCAUGGUUUGACUAUGCAAUAAAUGUCUUGUAAGUAUGUAUACUUUAUCUCCCACCUAUGAGCUCUAGAUAUCAAAGCCUUAUUAGAGUAGGAUGAGAGAGAAGGCAAUGUCACUAUGCCUUAUACCACAAAUACCACAUACUUUGAGAGAAGGCAUAUACCAUCACUGCCUUGGUAAGGAUCCAGAAAUACCACAAAAGAGAGAUCUGAGAGAGUCAUACAAGGAAUCUCUGAGUUUUAUUUGAAAAUCUGCAAAAACUCCAGAGCUAUAGCUGA
rnacentral:lncRNA from 1 species